AGCCAGCAGCCGCGGUAAUACGGAGGGGGCAAACGUUGUUCGGAAUUACUGGGCGUAAAGGGUGCGUAGGCGGUUCGAUUAGUCUUGCGUGAAAUCUCUCGGCUUACCCGGGAAACUGCGCUGGAUACUGUCGAGCUCGAGGAUGGGAGAGGCAGAUGGAAUUCCUGGUGUAGCGGUGGAAUGCGUAGAUAUCAGGAAGAACACUCAUGGCGAAGGCAGUCUGCUGGCCCACACCUGACGCUGAGGCACGAAAGCCAGGGGAGCAAACGGGAUUAGAUACCCCGGUAGUCCUGGCCCUAAACGGUGAACACUAGGUGUCGGGGGUAUCGACCCCCUCGGCGCCGUAGCUAACGCGUUAAGUGUUCCGCCUGGGGAGUACGACCGCAAGGUUGAAACUUAAAGGAAUUGGCGGGGGA
rnacentral:rRNA from 1 species